CUCCUCUUGGUGUAGUUGGUUCAUCACGUUCGACUGUAAUUGCUUCUGUAAUCGAAAGGGUAAGUUUCAAUGCACUCUAGUAUUCCAACACCAAAACUAACAACAACACAGUCCCUGGUUCGAUUCCGGGAGAGGAGA